CUACGGGUGGCACCAGUGGGGAAUCUUGUGCAAUGGGCGAAAGCCUGACACAGCCACGCCGCGUGCGGGAAGAAGGCCUUCGGGUCGUAAACCGCUUUCAGCAGGAACGAAAAUGACUGUACCUGCAGAAGAAGGAGCGGCCAACUACGUGCCAGCAGCCGCGGUGACACGUAGGCUCCAAGCGUUGUCCGGAUUUAUUGGGCGUAAAGAGCUCGUAGGCGGUUCAGCAAGUCGGGUGUGAAAACUAUGGGCUUAACCCAUAGCCUGCACCCGAAACUGCUGUGACUAGAGUUUGGUAGGGGAGCGGGGAAUUCCUGGUGUAGCGGUGAAAUGCGCAGAUAUCAGGAGGAACACCGGUGGCGAAGGCGCCGCUCUGGGCCAAUACUGACGCUGAGGAGCGAAAGCGUGGGUAGCAAACAGGAUUAGAUACCCCGAUAGUC
rnacentral:rRNA from 1 species